rnacentral:tRNA from 1 species
GCGGCCGUGAUGUAGCCUGGCAGCAUAGAGGACUGUGGAUCCUUUCGGGUGAGUUCAAAUCUCACCGGCCGCC